CCUACGGGUGGCAGCAGUGGGGAAUAUUGCACAAUGGGGGAAACCCUGAUGCAGCGAAGCCGCGUGAGUGAAGAAGUAUUUCGUUACGGAAAGCUCUAUCAGCAGGGAAGAAAAACUGAGCUUACGGUCAGCAGACGGUACAUGUGUAAGAAGAGCCGGCGAACUACGUGCCAGAAGCCGCGGUAAUACGUAGGGGGCAAGCGUUAUCCGGGUUUACUGGGUUUAAAGGGGGCGUAGACGGUAUUGUAAGUCUGAAGUGAAAGACCGGGGCUUAACCCGGGGACUGCUUUGGAAAAUGUUUGACUUGAGUGCUGGAGAGGUAAGUGGAAUGCCUAGUGUAGCGGUGAAAUGCUUAGAUAUCAGGAGGAACCCCAGUUGCGAAGGCGGCUUACUAGACAGUAACUGACGUUGAGGCUCGAAAGCGUGGGGAUCAAACAGGAUUAGAUACCCUGGUAGUC
rnacentral:rRNA from 1 species